rnacentral:lncRNA from 1 species
UUGUGGUCUUCCUCUUUCUUCACCUUGGUCGAUGUCUCCUUACUUUGAUCGUCUUCCUAGUAAUCUUCGUUGAGUUGUUCUUCAUCUUGGUCGUGUUAUUAACCAUGCUUCCACCAUGGGUUAAUAUAGCUUUGACUCUUUCAUGAUUUUUCUUUUUCCAUCCGUCACUAUCCUUAUUGUGCAUAAUAUCAUCUUUUAUGUUUUCCCACUUGUUUUUAUCCACUUCCUUACUAACAUUACUAAACUUCUCUUUCAAAUUGUUUUGUGCCAAUUCCCUUCAAAUAUGGUUCUCCAUGCUGAGACUUUUC